rnacentral:rRNA from 1 species
AUUGAACGCUGGCGGCAUGCCUAACACAUGCAAGUCGAACGAGUGGCGGACGGGUGAGUAAUGUCUGGGAAACUGCCUGAUGGAGGGGGCUAACUACUGGAACCGGUAGCUAAUACCGCAUACCAUCAUAUUUGCCCAGCUGGGAUUAGCUUGUUGGUGGGGUAACGGCGCACCAAGGCGACGAUCCCUAGCUGGUCUGAGAGGAUGACCAGCCACACUGGAACUGAGACACGGUCCAGACUCCUACGGGAGGCAGCAGUGGGGAAUAUUGCACAAUGGGCGCAAGCCUGAUGCAGCCAUGCCGCGUGUAUGAAGAAGGCCUUCGGGUUGUAAAGUACUUUCAGCGGGGAGGCGUUACCCGCAGAAGAAGCACCGGCUAACUCCGUGCCAGCAGCCGCGGUAAUUC